GACGAACGCUGGCGGCGUGCUUAACACAUGCAAGUCGAACGGAAAGGCCCUGCUUUUGUGGGGUGCUCGAGUGGCGAACGGGUGAGUAACACGUGAGUAACCUGCCCUUGAUUUUGGGAUAACUUCAGGAAACUGGGGCUAAUACCGGAUAGGAGCUCCUGCUGCAUGGUGGGGGUUGGAAAGUUUCGGCGGUUGGGGAUGGACUCGCGGCUUAUCAGCUUGUUGGUGGGGUAGUGGCUUACCAAGGCUUUGACGGGUAGCCGGCCUGAGAGGGUGAUCGGCCACAUUGGGACUGAGAUACGGCCCAGACUCCUACGGGAGGCAGCAGUGGGGAAUAUUGCACAAUGGGCGGAAGCCUGAUGCAGCAACGCCGCGUGCGGGAUGACGGCCUUCGGGUUGUAAACCGCUUUCGCCUGUGACGAAGCGUGAGUGACGGUAAUGGGUAAAGAAGCACCGGCUAACUACGUG
rnacentral:rRNA from 1 species